GUUCACGAAUCCGAACAUUAGAAGCUGUCUUGUGUUUUUAUUCGUGUCUGUACUCAAUAUUAUUCAUUCCGUUGAGUUCGAGAUGAAGGAAGCUUUAUUUUUGCAGAAUUCAUCUGUUUUAUCUGUGGUUAUACGAGAGAAACAUGUAUAUGAAGUUCCCCAAAGCAAUGAUCGAAUUGAUUGGAAUAAGGUAAUCAAGUUAUUUUGAUAUUGUGGGUUUUUACAUGGAAAUUUUGUAACGGAACUUCAAUUCUGCAAGCGAACUCAUUUUUCCACGAAACCUUCUGCUCAGCUGAUCAUUUCCGUACAGCAUCACCCGUCGCGCGCCUCGUUUUCAUAUAUUUGAGCAUUGAUUUUUUUUAUACAUUCAGAUACCAAGAAAUUGAUAUCUUGCAUUCGACAAUGGAGAUCCUAUUACGAGAGACUUGGAAUGCAAAACAGGAUUCAAGUUUACCGGAAAAAUUUUUGUGAACGGAAAAAAAAGAGGGCGAAGUGGAAGUAACCAGAUAUCUUCAACCCAAUGGAAACUACAAUAAUCGUCUUCCAGAAGCAAAUCAACUGAACAGUCGCGAAGGAGAGACAUUUCACCUGACGGACAAUGAAUAUUACUUCUUUCACAUUAGCUGUGAUGAAAAAGGUGAUUACAUCAUAUGGGCUGUCACUGCGACUCCUAAUGCAGAUGUUUCAACCAUUAUCAGAGCUAUUAACGCUCUCAGCAAUUUUGGAAUUCGACCGAAAUUCAAGCUUUCACGAUGUUCCGACAAGUCGAUUGAUUUUACAAAAUAAGAUAAAAAUUGACAUGACAAACUUCAAUAAAUAUACAGACUUAUUGCAGCAUCUCUAUAUAAUACAAGGAAGUGUUAGCAUGUUCAGUUGGAGUACUUUGUACAUAUGCAAGCAUAUUGCACGAACUUAAAU